UACGAAGGGGGCUAGCGUUGCUCGGAAUCACUGGGCGUAAAGGGUGCGUAGGCGGGUCUUUAAGUCAGAGGGGAAAUCCUGGAGCUCAACUCCAGAACUGCCUUUGAUACUGAGGAUCUUGAGUUCGGGAGAGGUGAGUGGAACUGCGAGUGUAGAGGUGAAAUUCGUAGAUAUUCGCAAGAACCCCAGUGGCGAAGGCGGCUCACUGGCCCGAUACUGACGCUGAGGAGCGAAAGCGUGGGGAGCGAACAGG
rnacentral:rRNA from 1 species